CUGGAGGUAUCAGAAGUGCGAAUGCUGACAUAAGUAACGAUAAAGCGGGUGAAAAGCCCGCUCGCCGGAAGACCAAGGGUUCCUGUCCAACGUUAAUCGGGGCAGGGUGAGUCGACCCCUAAGGCGAGGCCGAAAGGCGUAGUCGAUGGGAAACGGGUUAAUAUUCCCGUACUUGGUGUUACUGCGAAGGGGGGACGGAGAAGGCUAUGUUGGCCGGGCGACGGUUGUCCCGGUUUAAGCGUGUAGGUGUGUGUUCCAGGUAAAUCCGGUUCACUUUAACACUGAGGCGUGAUGACGAGGCACUACGGUGCUGAAGCAACAAAUGCCCUGCUUCCAGGAAAAGCCUCUAAGCAUCAGGUAACAUCAAAUCGUACCCCAAACCGACACAGGUGGUCAGGUAGAGAAUACCAAGGCGCUUGAGAGAACUCGGGUGAAGGAACUAGGCAAAAUGGUGCCGUAACUUCGGGAGAAGGCACGCUGACAUGUAGGUGAAGUGAUUUACUCAUGGAGCUGAAGUCAGUCGAAGAUACCAGCUGGCUGCAACUGUUUAUUAAAAACACAGCACUGUGCAAACACGAAAGUGGACGUAUACGGUGUGACGCCUGCCCGGUGCCGGAAGGUUAAUUGAUGGGGUCAGCGCAAGCGAAGCUCCUGAUCGAAGCCCCGGUAAACGGCGGCCGUAACUAUAACGGUCCUAAGGUAGCGAAAUUCCUUGUCGGGUAAGUUCCGACCUGCACGAAUGGCGUAAUGAUGGCCAGGCUGUCUCCACCCGAGACUCAGUGAAAUUGAACUCGCUGUGAAGAUGCAGUGUACCCGCGGCAAGACGGAAAGACCCCGUGAACCUUUACUAUAGCUUGACACUGAACAUUGAGCCUUGAUGUGUAGGAUAGGUGGGAGGCUUUGAAGUGUGGACGCCAGUCUGCAUGGAGCCGACCUUGAAAUACCACCCUUUAAUGUUUGAUGUUCUAACGUGGACCCGUAAUCCGGGUUGCGGACAGUGUCUGGUGGGUAGUUUGACUGGGGCGGUCUCCUCCUAAAGAGUAACGGAGGAGCACGAAGGUUGGCUAAUCCUGGUCGGACAUCAGGAGGUUAGUGCAAUGGCAUAAGCCAGCUUGACUGCGAGCGUGACGGCGCGAGCAGGUGCGAAAGCAGGUCAUAGUGAUCCGGUGGUUCUGAAUGGAAGGGCCAUCGCUCAACGGAUAAAAGGUACUCCGGGGAUAACAGGCUGAUACCGCCCAAGAGUUCAUAUCGACGGCGGUGUUUGGCACCUCGAUGUCGGCUCAUCACAUCCUGGGGCUGAAGUAGGUCCCAAGGGUAUGGCUGUUCGCCAUUUAAAGUGGUACGCGAGCUGGGUUUAGAACGUCGUGAGACAGUUCGGUCCCUAUCUGCCGUGGGCGCUGGAGAACUGAGGGGGGCUGCUCCUAGUACGAGAGGACCGGAGUGGACGCAUCACUGGUGUUCGGGUUGUCAUGCCAAUGGCACUGCCCGGUAGCUAAAUGCGGAAGAGAUAAGUGCUGAAAGCAUCUAAGCACGAAACUUGCCCCGA
rnacentral:rRNA from 2 species